rnacentral:lncRNA from 1 species
GAAAUGCUGUCCUUCUGGGAUGUGGCCAUUGAUUUCUCUCCAGAAGAGUGGGAAUGCCUGGAGCCUGUUCAGUGGAAUCUGUACAGGGACGUGAUGUUAGAGAAUUACAGCAACUUUGUGUUCCUGGGUAAACAUUGAUCUAAAGUGAAUUCGUAUCUCACCAUCAACAUGUAACUUCCUCACUUUGGACAAUAUCUCAUGUUGUAUUUCAACAACGAGUUUCCUAUCCUUCACGUUAAGGAAAAUCAGGGAGGUGGCUCUGUAGCUAAGAAACAUUUCGUUGCUUUUCCUUCGUGUGUUUGAGAUGUCUGUGUUGGAAGCAUGCCUCCUUUGUUCUUGUGGGACUGUGAGAAAUGCACCAGCAUGCAUGGAGCACGCUUGUUAAUGAAAUUGUUUCUCAAUUCAGUCUAAAUGUUUUCUCUUUAAGGAAAGUCAGAAUCAGGAUAUUGUACAUUCCUUUAUGUAUUGUACUGUGUGUGUCAGAAACCAUUUAAGAAGCUAAUUGUCUGCAAUUACUUAUUUUAUCAUCUCCUUCCUUAUAAACACUGUACUGGAAGGGACAUGUCACUUUCCAGUGGAAGAACACUUAAACAAUCAUGUUCUCGUUUCCUACAAACAGGUCUAACUUUCUCUAAGCCAUUCUUGGUAACAUUCCUGGAGCAAGGACAAGGGCCUUGGGAUAUGCAGAGACAAGCAGCCGCCGCUGUGCACCCAGGAAUAGCUCUCAAUGAUCCCAACUGUUACAGCAAGACCACUAACUGUAAAUCACUCCUUAUUAAACGACGAAAACUUCAUAUAGGGGAGAAACCCUACAAGUGUGAAGAAUGUGGUAAGGCCCUUGGUUCUCUUAAAACACUUUCUAUACACCAGAGACUUCAUACUGGAGACAAACCCUACAAGUGUAAAGA